AGUGAACGCUGGCGGUAGGCCUAACACAUGCAAGUCGAACGGCAGCACAGUAAGAGCUUGCUCUUACGGGUGGCGAGUGGCGGACGGGUGAGGAAUACAUCGGAAUCUACUUUUUCGUGGGGGAUAACGUAGGGAAACUUACGCUAAUACCGCAUACGACCUACGGGUGAAAGCAGGGGAUCUUCGGACCUUGCGCGACUGAAUGAGCCGAGGUCGGAUUAGCUAGUUGGCGGGGUAAAGGCCCACCAAGGCGACGAUCCGUAGCUGGGCUGAGAGGAGGAUCAGCCACACUGGAACUGAGACACGGUCCAGACGCCUACGGGAGGCAGCAGUGGGAAUAUUGGACAAUGGGCGCAAGCCUGAUCCAGCCAUACCGCGUGGGUGAAGAAGGCCUUCGGGUUGUAAAGCCCUUUUGUUGGGAAAGAAAAGCAGCAGGUUAAUACCCCGCUGUUCUGACGGUACCCAAAGAAUAAGCACCGGCUAACUUCGUG
rnacentral:rRNA from 1 species